CAGGCUGCCCGGGGCCCCAUCCAACCUGGCCUUGAGCACCUGCAGGGUUGGGGCACCACAGCUUCUCUGGGCAGCUGUGCCAGGGCCUCACCACCCUUGGAUCCAGCUUUUUUACUUUCCCAAAACUUUCCUUGAGGCAAAGCAAUUAAUGAUUUGAGGAAGCAAACCUGUUUCCUCAGAAUUCGCCCUGGAACUGACUGGAAGAAUGUGAUAGUCCUGGUGACCCAUAACAGAGACCUCCUUGGAUAGCUGUGGGAUGCCUGCAAAGGGCUUGGGAAAGGAACAGGAACUCAGAAGCCAUAGCAUGCUUGGGGCUUCCCCAGUGGGAACUGGCAGGAGACAAACUGGAGGGACCUCUGCGUGCAGGCCUCACCAUGAGGCUCUUGUCACUGGAGGUGACUCCUCAGAGCCCACCCUUCAGGGAGUGGCACUCCUACUUUCCAUCCUACAAUGGCAGCAGUGCUGUAAAGGGCAGUGGAUGGACCUGGGCAUGCUGAAGUAUUGUCACAGAAAAUAA
rnacentral:lncRNA from 1 species